CCUACGGGUGGCAGCAGUGAGGAAUAUUGGUCAAUGGACGAGAGUCUGAACCAGCCAAGUAGCGUGAAGGAUGACUGCCCUAUGGGUUGUAAACUUCUUUUAUAUGGGAAUAAAAUGUUCCACGUGUGGGAUUUUGUAUGUACUAUAUGAAUAAGGAUCGGCUAACUCCGUGCCAGCAGCCGCGGUAAUACGGAGGAUCCGAGCGUUAUCCGGAUUUAUUGGGUUUAAAGGGAGCGUAGGUGGGUUGUUAAGUCAGUUGUGAAAGUUUGCGGAUCAACCGUAAAAUUGCAGUUGAAACUGGCAGUCUUGAGUACAGUUGAGGUGGGCGGAAUUCGUGGUGUAGCGGUGAAAUGCUUAGAUAUCACGAAGAACUCCGAUUGCGAAGGCAGUUCACUAGACUGCAACUGACACUGAGGCUCGAAAGUGUGGGUAUCAAACAGGAUUAGAUACCCCAGUAGUC
rnacentral:rRNA from 1 species